GCCGACGUGGCGGAAUUGGCAGACGCGCUAGACUCAAAAUCUUGUUCCCUUACGGGAGUGUGGGUUCGAUUCCCUCCGUCGGCACCA
rnacentral:tRNA from 1 species